GUGCAGCAGGCGAGAAUACUCCACAAUGCGCGAAAGCGCGAUGGGGCUAUCCCGAGUGCCGUCCGCUGAGGAUGGCUUUUCUCCAGUGUAAGGAGCUGGAGGAAUAAGGAGAGGGCAAGUCUGGUGUCAGCCGCCGCGGUAAUACCAGCUCUCCGAGUGGUAGGGACGUUUAUUGGGCUUAAAGCGCCCGUAGCCGGCUCAGCAAGUCCUCCGUUAAAUCCAGCGAUUCAAUCGUUGGACUGCGGGGGAUACUGCUGGGCUAGGGGACGGGAGAGGCCGACGGUAUUCCCGGAGUAGGGGUGAAAUCCUAUAAUUCCGGGAGGACCACCAGUGGCGAAGGCUGUCGGCUAGAACGAGCUCGACGGUGAGGGACGAAAGCUGGGGGAGCGAACCGGAUUAGAUACCCGGGUAGU
rnacentral:rRNA from 1 species